GAUGAACGCUGGCGGCGUGCCUAAUACAUGCAAGUCGAACGCACAGCGAAAGGUGCUUGCACCUUUCAAGUGAGUGGCGAACGGGUGAGUAACACGUGGACAACCUGCCUCAAGGCUGGGGAUAACAUUUGGAAACAGAUGCUAAUACCGAAUAAAACUUAGUGUCGCAUGACACAAAGUUAAAAGGCGCUUCGGCGUCACCUAAAGAUGGAUCCGCGGUGCAUUAGUUAGUUGGUGAGGUAAAGGCCUACCAAGACAAUGAUGCAUAGCCGAGUUGAGAGACUGAUCGGCCACAUUGGGACUGAGACACGGCCCAAACUCCUACGGGAGGCUGCAGUAGGGAAUCUUCCACAAUGGGCGAAAGCCUGAUGGAGCAACGCCGCGUGUGUGAUGAAGGCUUUCGGGUCGUAAAGCACUGUUGUAUGGGAAGAACAGCUAGAAUAGGAAAUGAUUUUAGUUUGACGGUACCAUACCAGAAAGGGACGGCUAUAUACGUGCCAGCAGCCGCGGUAAUACGUAUGUCCCGAGCGUUAUCCGGAUUUAUUGGGCGUAAAGCGAGCGCAGACGGUUUAUUAAGUCUGAUGUGAAAGCCCGGAGCUCAACUCCGGAAUGGCAUUGGAAACUGGUUAACUUGAGUGCAGUAGAGGUAAGUGGAACUC
rnacentral:rRNA from 1 species